UGAGUGGUGAAAUCUGCUAAGAGUUUUUGGCUGAGACGGGGGGUGGGGGACGAGGGUUCAAAAAGAAAUCGCCAACGAACAGAGAGAGAGAAAGAGAGAAAAUGGAAUCAAAAGUAGGAAAUAAAUUAAGCGAGAGACAGCAGAUUGUCGAAAUAUCCACCAAAAUGUUAAGUAACAGCCGAGAAUACAGAGACGGUGCAAAGUGCACACAAUAAGAGGGUUGGGGAAUAAGACCAAUGCAGCGCCCAAUACGGGGGGUCCGUACGGAAUUUCCUGCCAAAAACGCCAAUGUUUGUGCUUACAACACGAUUUUCAGCGGCCCUCGAGCUCUAUUUUAUGGUUUACUCGUCCGAUUUUAAAUUAGGCGACGACACACAUUUAAACGAAAAAUGGCGUCGGAGCGUCGAAAGAGACGGAGAAUAACAGCGUCAGAGAGCGCUGCGCUGCGUCAUCACUGCUAACUGCGCAUUUAAAAAAAAGUCGCUAUUAUAUAUUCAUUUAUAUACUAUCUAUUGUAUGCUGAUAUCGAAAUCGCUGACGAACCACAAAAUCGGAUUCAUUGUGCUCGUCGCCAUGCUGGGACUGGCCAUUGCCCAGGAGCAGCGUAAUUAGUGAUCAAACUAUAUAAUCGCCAGACCGAUUUGGCCGUGGCAUUCUCGGUUGCUCAAGGAAAUGAAGCCGGCGCUGAGAACCAAGCUCACCCUGGUUAUUUGCAACUUUAUGGAUCGCAUUUCCCCCAAAAUCCCUCUGGAUGAAUGGAUCAACGUUAACUUUUCCAUACAUGUACGCAAUAUUUCAUAUUAUUCGAUCAAGGCAAACCUAUUUCGCUCUUGACACCCCCUACUGCCCAUGAUAAAAUAAAACAUAUAAUAUUUAGAAAUUUAAGUCUUCCAUAAAAGAACCUCAAUGUUAACGAACUUUAUAAACUUAAGGCAAGGUUACAGCAACCACAAAAGCCCCGAAAUGUACGAGACGUCAAAAGGCAAACGAUAUGUAGUAUUAAGUCGCAGAACGAUAAAAAUAAAAUAUCAGGCAUGCCACGGGCUGCCAGCAGUUUUUUUUUUAUAGAAAACGAAAAUUAUUUCCUGUUUUCAGCAAUAACAACUGAGAGGGUGGUGAAUUUUGAUUAGACGAGAGUUAUCAGAAGAUACGGAUUUGCAUUUGUUUACCGUUUACCCCGAGACCCCUUUCUAAAAGAAAACGACGCAAAAGAGAGAGGGUGCAAAAACCGAAGGCAGUCUCAACAAUGCGUAAAAAGUAAUUGAUAACAAGGUGCGCCUUACAAAAAUAUUACAACGGCGUAGAUCAUGGCGUCUGUCUCUUAUUAAGAUUUGUAGACUCAC